rnacentral:rRNA from 1 species
UCGCACCUACCGAUUGAAUGGUCCGGUGAGAACUCUGGACUCCGGCGUGAGCGCUUCAUUGUGCUCUCUGCCAGGGGAAGUUGUUCAAACCUUACCAUUUAGAGGAAGGUG